UCUGGAAGGAUAGUGGCAAACGGGUGAGUAACGCGUAAGCAACCUGCCCUUAAGUAGGGAAUAACUCCGAGAAAUUGGAGCUAAUACCUUAUGUGGUGGUGGGGGUAAUGCUCCAUCAUUAAAGCCUUCGGGCGCUUAGGGAGGGGCUUGUGUCCGAUUAGCUAGUUGGUAGAGUAACGGUUUACCAAGGCGAUGAUCGGUAGCUGGUUUGAGAGGACGGCCAGCCACACUGGGACUUAGACACGGCCCAGACUCCUACGGGAGGCAGCAGCAAGGAAUUUUGUGCAAUGGGCGAAAGCCUGACACAGCGACGCCGCGUGGGGGAUGAAGGUCUUCGGGCUGUAAACCCCUUUUCUCAGGGAAGAAUAAUGACGGUACCUGAGGAAUAAGCCUCGGCUAACUACGUGCCAGCAGCCGCGGUAAUACGUAGGAGGCAAGCGUUAUCCGGAUUUACUGGGCGUAAAGAGGGCGCGGGCGGUCUUUCAAGUCAAAUGUAAAAUCUCCCGGCUCAACCGGGAGGGAUCACUUGAUACUGUUAGGCUAGAGGGCAGCAGGAGGAGGUGGAAUUCUCGGUGUAGUGGUGAAAUGCGUAGAUAUCGGGAGGAACACCAGUGGCGAAAGCGGCCUCCUANGCUGUUUCUGACGCUGANGCCCAAAAGCGUGGGGAGCAAACAGGAUUAGAUACCCUGNUAGUCCACGCCGUCAACUAUGGACACUAGNUAUGGGGAGUAUCGACCCUCUCUGUGCCGAAGCUAACGCUUUAAGUGUCCCGCCUGGGGAGUACGGCCGCAAGGCUAAAACUCAAAGGAAUUGACGGGGGUCCGCACAAGCAGCGGAGCGUGUGGUUUAAUUCGAUGCAACACGCAGAACCUUACCAAGGCUUGACAUGACGGAAGUAGCAACCCGAAAGGGAAGCCACCUGUUAAAUCAGGAGCCGCCACAGGUGCUGCAUGGCUGUCGUCAGCUCGUGCCGUGAGGUGUUUGGUUAAGUCCUGUAACGAGCGCAACCCUCACCUUUAGUUGCCAGCAUUAAGUUGGGCACUCUAAAGGGACUGCUGGUGUUAAACCGGA
rnacentral:rRNA from 1 species